rnacentral:rRNA from 1 species
AUUGAACGCUGGCGGCAUGCCUUACACAUGCAAGUCGAACGGCAGCGGACCUUCGGGUGCCGGCGAGUGGCGAACGGGUGAGUAAUGCAUCGGAACGUGCCAUUGAGUGGGGGAUAACGUAGCGAAAGUUACGCUAAUACCGCAUAUUCUGUGAGCAGGAAAGCAGGGGACCGCAAGGCCUUGCGCUCUUUGAGCGGCCGAUGUCAGAUUAGCUAGUUGGUGAGGUAAAGGCUUACCAAGGCGACGAUCUGUAGCGGGUCUGAGAGGAUGAUCCGCCACACUGGAACUGAGACACGGUCCAGACUCCUACGGGAGGCAGCAGUGGGGAAUUUUGGACAAUGGGCGCAAGCCUGAUCCAGCCAUGCCGCGUGAGUGAAGAAGGUCCUCUGGAUUGUAAACCUCUUUUGGCAGGAAACAAACCUGCGCUAUACGCGCAGCUGAGGGUACCUGCAGAAUAAGCACCGGCUAACUCCGUG